rnacentral:rRNA from 1 species
CCUGAGAAACCCGAAAGAUCGAAUGGGGAGAUUCAUCGUCAGCGAUUUUGGUACGUGUGCGGUUCGCGAUGUCGGAGGCUCCGGUCUCAUGGCACGCGUCCGCAUGUUUUUUAUUGCCUGAAUCGUCGGCGUGCACUUCUCCCCUAGUAGGACGUCGCGACCCGUUGGGUGUCGGUCUACGGCCCGGGUGGUAGCCUGUCUCGUGUGCGCUUCACGGCGUUACGCGGGGCAGACCCCUGUGUGUCUGGCCGACUGCCCGGCGGUACUCGCACGGUAUCUGGCCGCAAAUAUUCGAACUGCGUCCGGCCCGUCGCAAGCGAGGCAAGUGUUUCCCGGCUGUACGGAUCUAAUGCCGUCACCGGGCCUUGCCAGCUGUUGGUUGACGGUGUCCUAGGACUGGCCAUAACAAUUAUGAUACCGGUCGGCGACGCUACUGCUUUGGGUACUUUCAGGACCCGUCUUGAAACACGGACCAAGGAGUCUAACAUGUGCGCGAGUCAUUGGGAUCUAUUAAGCCUAAAGGCGCAAUGAAAGUGAAGGUCGGCCUUGCGCCGACCGAGGGAGGAUGGGCCGCGUCACGAUGCGGUCCCGCACUCCCGGGG